GGCUGCCGGCACGGCUUGUUUAUUAGGUACCGGGCCCGUGUGGGGCCAAACAUCCGUGCUUGCACUUGCAGGCACGCCCGGGGAGUAGGGCUAGCUAUAUUCCCAAGUCCUAACCAUGGCGCCGGCGCGUUGCAGCGGUGGUGGGCUCCCUCGGUGAACCCGGCAAGCAACGACGCCGCCCGUCCUCCUCCUCCGCCUCAUCGUGGUACGCGUCGUGGCGCUCGUGCUCGAGGGGGCCUUGAGCCCCGCGCCGCCAUGCUCAAUCCGGUCUCCGACGAUUGGCUCAUCCGCGACCUCAGACGGGUGGUCCUCGACGACGACGCGCUCGCGCUCUUCCUCCUCCGCUUUGACAAGCCAACCGCUCCUUGUCUGGCUUCGCCACAAGUGGCUCCACCUCCUUGCAUUCUCCUGCAGGAGUAGUGUCGGGUGAUUGCGUGGGCGCUGAUAGCCUGAAGCAGGAAGCAGCUGACCAUGAGGAGCUCACUAAGACGACGAGGUGUGGCCAUGCUGCCUUAUCAGACCUAGCUAGCUUACUGAUCGCAGACAAGGACGACGGUGCUUUUGAGCUGAGAUAGUAUGCCUGGUUGCAUGGAAUGAUAGAACAAGCAUGGUUUUAAUGGCCCAGGAAAGGGCUCAAUUUUGGGCGGCUAUUGGGUUUGUAGCUGCCAUGUCGUUUUUAAUUCUAGGUGAGAAAUCCUUGCUUGACAAGGCUAGCUAGCCGCAGAUUGCAGGUAAUUUCUUCUUUAUUUUUACCUCAAAGUAUGCAAAGGUAGCACCCACUUGCACUUGGCUAACUAUGUUGCAUAGAAAUUGGGUAAUAUCCAUGCCGGUGAUGUAGAUGUCGCCAGCUGCAAUGUAUCUACCUUUCCUAGAUUUGGAGUUUGGUUCCCUGUACCUGUCCUCUGCUCACUAACAAGAGCACUUGCCCUGUUGA